CACGUAGGGGGCAAGCGUUGUCCGGAUUUAUUGGGCGUAAAGAGCUCGUAGGCCGCUUGGUAAGUCGGGUGUGAAAUUUCGAGGCUCAACCUCGAACCGCCAUCCGAUACUGCUAUGGCUAGAGUCCGGUAGAGGAGUGUGGAAUUCCUGGUGUAGCGGUGAAAUGCGCAGAUAUCAGGAGGAACACCAACGGCGAAGGCAGCACUCUGGGCCGGUACUGACGCUGAGGAGCGAAAGCGUGGGGAGCAAA
rnacentral:rRNA from 1 species